rnacentral:rRNA from 1 species
CCCCUCGGGGUCCGCAUUGUAAUUUGCAGAGGAUGCUUCGGGAGUGGCCCCCAUCUAAGUGCUCUGGAACGGGCCGUCAUAGAGGGUGAGAAUCCCGUAUGGGAUGGGGUGUCCGCGACCAUGUGAAGCUCCUUCAACGAGUCGAGUUGUUUGGGAAUGCAGCUCUAAAUGGGUGGUAAAUUUCAUCUAAAGCUAAAUAUUGGCCGGAGACCGAUAGCGCACAAGUAGAGUGAUCGAAAGAUGAAAAGCACUUUGAAAAGAGAGUUAAAAAGCACGUGAAAUUGUUGAAAGGGAAGCGCUUGCGACCAGACUCGCCUGCGGGGUUCAGCCGGUAUUCGUACCGGUGUACUUCCCCGUGGGCGGGCCAGCGUCGGUUUGGGCGGCCGGUCAAAGGCCCUCGGAAUGUAACGCCUCUCGGGGCGUCUUAUAGCCGAGGGUGCCAUGCGGCCAGCCCGGACCGAGGAACGCGCUUCGGCACGGACGCUGGCGUAAUGGUCGUAAGCGACCCGUCUUGAAACACGGACCAAGGAGUCUAACAUCUACGCGAGUGUUCGGGUGUCAAACCCGUGCGCGCAGUGAAAGCGAACGGAGGUGGGAACCCUCACGGGUGCACCAUCGACCGAUCCUGAUGUCUUCGGAUGGAUUUGAGUAAGAGCGUAGCUGUUGGGACCCGAAAGAUGGUGAACUAUGCCUGAAUAGGGCGAAGCCAGAGGAAACUCUGGUG